UUGUAUCACUAAGUUAGAAUUUAACGAAAGGGAAAUAACUCCACUUCGGGCGGGGAAUCGUGGAUAAAUUCGUUUUGCAUCGAUGAAAUAAAGAGUCUGUGAAUCAUUUGAGGUUGUCACAGUACAAGGGAAAGGAUAAAUCAAGCAGUGAAUUGAACUCAAAGAUUAGAAAGGAAUUGUAUUUUGUCCUUGCAUAGAAGAAAUAAACACAAUGAAUGUCUAUCGCCAACCAGCGCAGUGGGAAGACAAACGCACAAAAGAUUUACGGAAUCAAGUUACACUACUGAAUACACAUCUUGGUGUACAAAGGUCAAAGUUGUCAUCAACAAUACCAGAACUCGUCCAAUACUGUGAGAAGCAUGCUGUACAAGAUCCUUUCCUAUUUCCAAUUAGAGACAAUCCUUUUAAACCAAUUAGACGACCGUGUUGCAUUAUAUAGAAGAUAAUGGGAUCAAAACAUGAAUGAAUGUGAUAAAUAUGUGAUUCAACAAAUGAUAGAAGUAAUAUAUAUAUUUUCCACAAAGAAGAAAUUCUGUUGUUGUAGCUGUUAAAAUAGUAAAUCGUCAGUGGCAUAGCUGUUAAAGUUGUAUAUUGUCAGUGGCUUCGACGUGCUAUUCAUUGCCUUCAAAACUUUUUAAACAUUAUUAUAGUGCCAUUGCAAAAUAGAAAACCAAGAAAAUAUUUUAAUUUUUUUUCUUCUAAAAAAUGAUUAAAAUUAAUUAUAUACAUGUUUAUUGCUUAAGAAAAAUCAUGCCAAAGUAGAUAUUUGCUUCUGUGCCUUUAAGUGUGGGUGCUAAUAUAGACAUAUUCAAGAUCUUUAUUGUAUUCCUAUAAUAUUUGUGAUUCAUGUGAUGUUUAUAUUUUUUUAUAAUGUGAUUACUUUAUUUUUUAUGAUAAAUCAUCUUUUUGACUAUUUACGCUAGUAAAAUUGCUUGUAAGAUAUUAAUAUUUUUUUUAAUUACUAAUGCUAGUAAUAUUUGCCAGUAAAAUAUAAAUAUUUAAAAAUAAUGAAAAACUUAAUUUCAUAUUAAAUACAGGCAGUUUUAUUGAAAUGAAAAUUAUUAUCAAAGCUAUCCUUUGUUGAAGAUAAACCAUAAAAUUUCAGUAAGUUUUUAAACUUUGAUAUGAAGAAACCUGAUUUACCAUUGCUGUAAAUGAUGCCAUUUUGGAAGAUAUGAUGUAUUUGUGUACAAAGCACAUGGUAACACCUAACAACAAUUUGUGCUUGUUGUGGUUUAUUUAGUAUUUUUUCAUUUCACUCUUUUUAUGUCAUUUAAAGAACACAAUAUUGAAAUAAUGAUUAAUUUUCUGCUCAGCUUUCCUCUAGCUUUCAAUACGGUAAAAUCAUUUAUCUAAGUGAGUUUUAAAUUCACAAUUUAUUUGUAGGGAUCAAAACUGUGUGCAAGAUUUUUUUCAUGCUUUUACCUGUCACUGAUUCUUAUUUUCCAUAAAGAUAAAAUAAACACCAGUGGAUAUUUUCACAAUAUUGUCUUUAUCACCGAUUAGGGAAAAUAUUCUCUUCAUAAAAUCUACAUUUUACAGUACAUUGAUAUGUAUUAGGAGUAUUAUUAUGGUAACUAUAAUUAUUUUACUUUUUAGAUCAGCUUGAACAAUUUUUACUUUAAAUAUAUAUAUAUAUAUAUAUAUAUAUAUAGCUUUUUAUGAAAAAAAUGAAAUUUGUAUUGUGUAAAUUAAUUAUUCAAAUCUUAUGAUAUAUUGUAAUAAAAUAUAGUCAUAUUUUUUAAAUAAAAUAAUUCCUUUCACAUAGGAUCAGAUGGUUGUAAUAUGGCAUUUUAAAUCUAUUUUUUAUUUGGUUAGUAAAAACCACACAUCAAAUUUCUAAUGCUUAGUUUAAAGAUAUUUCGGCUUAAUUAAUUUGUUUACUUUCUGUUAACUUUUUUAAGUCUUCAUCAGACAUUUUUGUAAGUUCCCUUUUUUCUUCUUUGGCAUUGGAAAGUUUUGGGUUAAAGCUUAAAUAUUUGAUUUUAAGAGAACAAAAUUCUGUAAAUUGUAUAUUUUUCUUUGUCAGUAAGAAGUAUUAUCAUUUUACAGCCAAUGAACAGCAUUCAUUAUUAUGUAUGUAUUAGUAUGGAUAUAUACAUGUUUAUUGCAAAUGUCAGAUGCAUUAAUAGGAUCUUUAUAUGAAUUGAUACAGGCUUAAAUCAGAAUUGACACUUUCAAGUUUCUAGAAUUUAUUUUUCGGGAAAGAGUGUUUAUGAACCAGCAGCUAUGAAUGUUUAAGUUAAUUUCCUAUGAAUAAGAAUAGAUGAUGAUGUGUAUAAUGUUGCAGCAUUUCCAUACUGCUGGCCACAUUGUUAUAUAUUUAUAUCAUAUGUAAAUUGAAAUUAAUAUAUGAUUAUAUAUAAAUGUUAUGUAUUUAAAAUGUUUUUUUUUGUCAUUCACAAUUUGGUAGGUUUAAAAGAAGGGGAAAAAAGGACUUUUUUAUUGCAAAUUGCUUUGAAUUUGUUGUUUAUUUCAACAAAUUAUUUUUCUUUAAAAAUGUUUUUUAUUUUUUAUUAUACCUUCUUAUUUGAAAAUCUUCCUUAGGCUACUUUUAUUAGAAAAUUAUUUGUGUAAACAUUAGCCUGGGAUCUUGGCUCACUCCUUGACAGUAGAUAUUGUCAGUCCAGAUCAGUGCUGACAGGAAUUCAAAUGAUUUCUUCCAUGCCUGGCUUUACUGAUUCUAUAAACACUACAGAGAUUAGGCCAUGAUACCAGGCUAUGUUAAUGUUAGGUUAAAUUUUCACAGUCAAAGUUAUCUUUCUUGAAACAAAUAAAAGCAGUUUCUUUUACAGUAGAUGCAUAUUGAAAACUAUCCCCAAGUUUGUUAUUUUUUUUAAUAUCCCACAAAUCACUAAGUUCUUCAAAAUGAUAUAUAUGGAAGGUGAGGGGUGUUAUAUGUAAUGUACAAGAAAUAAAUUGACAAAAAUAAACCUCGUAAAUUUCUGUAAAUUUGCAACUAGAUUAAAUUCACUACAAUUAUAAAACAAUGUAUUUGUUUAUUCACUUUAUACCGUCAUGUUUAUGUAACAUAUUUUUGUCAUUACAUGUAAAGAACCUAAUGAUAUGAAAUCAAAAUAUACUUCAGCAAAGAGCUUACACAUGUGCAAUGUUGUAAUUAAUAUUUGUAAAGGACUCCUGUGCAAUGUAUAUUUAUGUAUAAACAGUUUUUCAGUUGCUUUCUUGUUCAAAAGUCAAAUAAUUAAGCAAAACAUUGUUCUUGUAUUGAGGCAAAAUGUAUAUUACAUGAUAGUGCAGUUCAGGGCUAUUCUUGAAGAAAGAAAGUCAUAAGAGCAUUUGAACUAAAAAACGUGGUGUACCGUUAACACGGUAUUUUUUUGAUAGAUAAAAUAGUACAAUUGAAAGUUGUAAGGGAUUCCAUUAGCCUCUUAGAUUAAAACCAUUAUCCAAGUCAUGAUCAAAAAUGUUUUUUGUUUCUCCUUUUUUCUUGAUCGGGUGUGAAAUGAGAUUGUAAAAGUAAAGAAUUUCUCCAGUGAAAAGAAUGGGUAUGCAAUAAGAUUGUAAAGUAAAGAAUUUCUCCAGUGAAAAGAAUGGGUAUGCAAUAAGAAUAUGUCAAAGUAAUGAAUUUAUGCAUUUUAUACAAGUGAUCUAUUAUAUUCUGAUUUUUUAAAGUGUAAAAUUAAAAAUUUAACCUGUUCAAAAAAUUUAAGAUGAGGUAAAAAAAAAACAACAGGUCCAGUUGAAUGGACCACAUUGUAUUAUCUAAUAGGUACUAAAACAUGAUGAUAUAUGCACAUAUGACAAUGUCACAAUGUCAUAGUGAACAAACCAGAAUGUCAUAAUGAACAAACCACAAUGUCAUAUUAUAUUUGUUGACAAUAACAAGAGUAUUAAAAGAACCAAUGAUUGCCUUGUUUGAUUAUAGUGAUUAAAGUAAUACUGUUUUA